rnacentral:rRNA from 1 species
UACAUGGAGUCCAAGCGUUAUCCGGAAUUACUGGGCGUAAAGCGUUCGUAGGUGGCUGAUCAAGUUUUCAGUGAAAUCUCCAGGCUUAACUUGGAAAUUGCUGAAAAAACUGAUCAGCUAGUGUGCAGCAGAGGCAGAUGGAAUUCUUGGUGUAGAGGUAAAAUUCGUUGAUAUCAAGAAGAACACCAGUGGCGAAGGCGAUCUGCUGGGCUGUUACAGACACUGAGGAACGAAAGCGUGGGUAGCGAACGGG